AUAAUAAUAGUUUGUUUAUAUGCCACCCAUCUGACUGGAUUGCCCCAGUCAUUCUGGGCGGCUCCCAACAAAAAAAUAAGUAAAAACACAAUUAAGUAAAAUAAGUAAAAAAACCACGACUUCAAACACUUAAAACUUCCCUGAACAAAGCAGCCUUCAGGUGUCUUUUAAAAAUCACAUAGCUGUUUAUCUGUUUGACAUCUGCUGGGAGGGUGCCACUACCGAGAAGGCCCUCCGUCUGGUUCCCUGUAACCUCACUUUUCGCAAUGAGGGAACCACCAGAAGGCCCUCAUAGCUGCUUCUCAGUGUCCGGGCUGAACGGUGGGGGUGGAGAUGCUCCUUACUAGAUUUUGGAGAAUACAAGCCACUCUUCAGAAAGGAAGGUUUUGGGUUUUGCACAUUUUGGUAUUUUGUAUCGUCUUCUUAUUCUAGUGUGUCACUUCACUAGCAGGAGCUACAGAAAAAUGCAAGUGUAGCCAUUUCAGGGCAUCACCUGAAGCUUUACAUUCAACCUCCCCAAUAAAUAGCUGCAUUUACCAAACAAGAUGGCAAAUACGAUGAAGACUUGCUUGCCUGUUGUCAGCACUUGAAGGCUCUCCAUUCUGAUUUCUGCCAAUGAUUUGAAGAUAUGCUUAAAAUGAACAUCCCCGAUCUGGUUUUGCACCCUUUUUCAAGUAUGAACACAGAAGAAUCUCAAAAUUUACAAGAAGAACUGAUAGAAGUAAGAACAAAUGAGUUCUGGCUGAAAUAGCAGAUACCUGCACUUUAUCCUGGAUUACGGGUUAUAAUACAAAAGUUUUUAAUUGCAUUUCCUUCAUCGUAUUUAGUGGAUUGUGAGUUCAGUGCGGUCACAGAUCUGUUAACUAAAAAAAGAAACCGACUGCAGAUAGCUAACCAUGCUGAUUUAAGAAUGCUGCUGACAAACAUUGAUAAAUUGAUAGCAGUGCACCAGGCUCAUCCUUCUCAUUGGGAUUAUUUUUUGAUGUUGUUCAUGAUUUUUAUUUUAAUAUUUUCCUUCGUUAUCCUAAUUUUCUGUGUGUAAUGCAAAUGUUACCACGGCUGAUUUUAAGAAGUAAUUGUAUAAUUUCCAGCUUCAAGGUGUCUUAUUUACAACAUCAUCUUCCUUUGCUAUGUUGGAGGACGUCAGUAGAAAUAUAGAUACAUGAAAGAACGCAAAUUUGCCACUGCAUCUUUCUUUGUUUGCUUAAAGAAGGUAGAUUUUCUGAAAAAGGGGUGGGGUAGGCCAAAUAAGUGUGGGAACCUGCCUCUUCACAACAUUGCUUCUCAAGAUGAUCCAGAAACUGCAGUUGGUUCAAAAUAUUGCUACAAUAUUUAGAUAAACAUAGGUGAUUAGACAACCAUUUCAAAACGCAUCCAUGCAAUGGAAUUUUGAGCCGUAUCCAUAAUGCAGUCAACAGAAAUGACAGUCUCACAUGAAAACAAAGGAUCAUCUCAAAAGGAGAGGUGAAAUGAGGGGAAAUUGUCAUAUAAUCAUUUGUUUCGGGCAAUCACCUUUCUUUCUUGGUGCAUCGCAAACUAACGCAAUGUAUUUCUAUAUUUUGCAGUGCUAUUUCUGGAAGCCAGUGUGUGGCCUCAGAUAAUGUAUUUGAAUAGUGAGUGAGAGAAUGGAGAUGCCAUUUGUCUUGGGGUUUCAAUUCCUCUCUGACUCAAGCAAUUAUAUCUUCAUACCUGUGUUAACUUCAUCUGCCACUGAGUCUGUUGUCGAAAUUACUUGCAGAUUUCAGCUGCGAGGAUGUUGGACGGUCAUUGUUUAGAUGUUAGCCAGCAAGCCUGGGAAAUUUAAUGACUGUCAAAAGUGGUGAGCCCCAGCAAAGAAACUCGAACUUCUUUUUGGGAGACCUCCCACGCUGAGCUGUGU
rnacentral:lncRNA from 1 species